rnacentral:rRNA from 1 species
AACGAACGCUGGCGGCAUGCUUAACACAUGCAAGUCGAACGAGACCUUCGGGUUUAGUGGCGCUCGGGUGCGUAACGCGUGGGAACCUGCCCUUAGGUUCGGAAUAACUUCCCGAAAGGGGUGCUAAUACCGGAUAAUGUCCUCGGACCAAAGGUCUAUCGCCUUUGGAUGGGUCCGCGUUUGAUUAGCUAGUUGGUAGGGUAAAAGCCUAUCAAGGAGGGGAUCCAUGGCUGGUCUGAGAGGAGGAUAAGCCACAAUGGGACUGAGACACAGCCCAGUCUCGUACGGAGGGGAGCGGAAGGGAGUAUAGGACGAGGGACGAAGACCUAAUACAGCAGUGCCGGGGAAGAGAUGAAGGGGUUAGGGUUGUGAUGCUGUUUGACACGAGAUGAUAGUGACAGUACCGGGAGAAUAAGCUCCGGCUAACUACGUG